rnacentral:rRNA from 1 species
GAUGAACGCUGGCGGCGUGCCUAACACAUGCAAGUCGAGCGGAGAAUUGUUGCUUGCAACCCUUCUUAGCGGCGGACGGGUGAGUAACACGUGGGUAACCUGCCCUAAACAAAGGGAUAACAAUGAGAAAUCAUUGCUAAUACCGUAUAAGCUUACACUAUCGCAUGAUAGAGUAAGAAAAGAUUUAUCGGUUUAGGAGGGGCCCGCGUCUGAUUAGCUAGUUGGAGAGGUAACGGCUCACCAAGGCGACGAUCAGUAGCCGACCUGAGAGGGUGAUCGGCCACAUUGGGAAUGAGACACGGCACAAACUCCUACGGGAGGCAGCAGUGGGGAAUAUUGCACAAUGGAGGAAACUCUGAUGCAGCAACGCCGAGUGAAGGAAGAAGGUUUUCGGAUCGUAAACUUCUAUCUACAGGGAAGAAAAAAAUGACGGUACCUGAGGAAGAAGCCCCGGCUAACUACGUG